rnacentral:rRNA from 1 species
UACGUAGGGUCCGAGCGUUGUCCGGAAUUACUGGGCGUAAAGAGCUCGUAGGCGGUCUGUCGCGUCGGCUGUGAAAACCCGGAGCUCAACUCCGGGCCUGCAGUCGAUACGGGCAAACUGGGGGUGUUGCAGGGGAGACUGGAAUUCCUGGUGUAGCGGUGAAAUGCGCAGAUAUCAGGAGGAACACCGGUGGCGAAGGCGGGCUCUGGGCAACAACUGACGCUGAGGAGCGAAAGCGUGGGGAGCGAACAGGAUUAGAUACC